rnacentral:rRNA from 1 species
UACGGAGGGUGCGAGCGUUAAUCGGAAUUACUGGGCGUAAAGAGUGCGUAGGUGGUUAGGUAAGUUAUCUGUAAAAGCCCUGGGCUCAACCUGGGAAGGCCAGAUAAAACUGCUUGACUCGAGUAUAGGAGAGGGUAGUGGAAUUUCCGGUGUAGCGGUGAAAUGCGUAGAGAUCGGAAGGAACACCAGUGGCGAAGGCGGCUACCUGGCCUGAUACUGACACUGAGGCACGAAAGCGUGGGGAGCAAACAGG